rnacentral:rRNA from 1 species
UUCGAUGCCCGGGGCCGCACGCGCGCUACACUGAAGGAAUCAGCGUGUGCUCCCCCUGUCCGCCAGGACUGGGUAACCCGUUGAAACUCCCUCGUGAUAGGGAUAGGGGCUUGUAAUUGUUCCCCUUGAACGAGGAAUAUCCAGUAAGCGCGAAUCAUCAAUUCGCGCUGAUUAUGUCCCUGUCUUUUGUACACACCGCCCGUCGCUGUUACUGAUUGGGUGAUUUAGUGAGGUCUUCGGACCGGCACUCGGGGCGGCCCACGGCCACGCCGAAGGGCUGGAAAGAUACCCGAACUUGAUCACUUAGAAGAAACACAAGUCGUAACAAGGUUUAC